rnacentral:lncRNA from 1 species
GCAAUAGUUGUUUUUUUAUUUUUAUUUUUUUCGUCUCUCCCAUAUUUCUUUUUCCGUCUCAUCUCUUCCAAAUUUCGCUGCCAAUUCCCUCUGGAAGAAACCCUAACGUUCGAAAAUAGAGAAAAAGGGUUGAAGAGCGUUUUUGGAUGGUGAAGGAAUUCCUGAGUUGAAACGGACGAUCGAUCCGAGUCGCCGUGGUUAUUUGCUCAAUCCUCCGAUGGGCGCUGCAGGUUCGAAGCUCGAGAAAGCUCUUGGCGAUCAGUUCCCCGANNNN